rnacentral:rRNA from 1 species
AGUGAACGCUGGCGGUAGGCCUAACACAUGCAAGUCGAACGGCAGCACAGUAAGAGCUUGCUCUUACGGGUGGCGAGUGGCGGACGGGUGAGGAAUACAUCGGAAUCUACUUUUUCGUGGGGGAUAACGUAGGGAAACUUACGCUAAUACCGCAUACGACCUACGGGUGAAAGCAGGGGAUCAUCGGACCUUGCGCGAUUGAAUGAGACGAUGUCGGAUUAGCUAGUUGGCGGGGUAAAGGCCCACCAAGGCGACGAUCCGUAGCUGGUCUGAGAGGAUGAUCAGCCACACUGGAACUGAGACACGGUCCAGACUCCUACGGGAGGCAGCAGUGGGGAAUAUUGGACAAUGGGCGCAAGCCUGAUCCAGCCAUACCGCGUGGGUGAAGAAGGCCUUCGGGUUGUAAAGCCCUUUUGUUGGGAAAGAAAAGCAGCAUGUUAAUACCCCGCUGUUCUGACGGUACCCAAAGAAUAAGCACCGGCUAACUUCGUG